UCCGAGAUCGUCUAAUGGUAGGACUUCGCCCUCUGGAGGCGAAUAUCAUGGUUCGAAUCCAUGUCUCGGAGCCA
rnacentral:tRNA from 1 species